UGGGGAAUAUUGGACAAUGGGCGAAAGCCUGAUCCAGCAAUGCCGCGUGAGUGAUGAAGGCCUUAGGGUUGUAAAGCUCUUUUACCCGGGAUGAUAAUGACGGUACCGGGAGAAUAAGCUCCGGCUAACUCCGUGCCAGCAGCCGCGGUAAUACGGAGGGAGCUAGCGUUGUUCGGAAUUACUGGGCGUAAAGCGCACGUAGGCGGCGAUUCAAGUCAGAGGUGAAAGCCCGGGGCUCAACCCCGGAACUGCCUUUGAAACUAGAUUGCUAGAAUCCUGGAGAGGUGAGUGGAAUUCCGAGUGUAGAGGUGAAAUUCGUAGAUAUUCGGAAGAACACCAGUGGCGAAGGCGACUCACUGGACAGGUAUUGACGCUGAGGUGCGAAAGCGUGGGGAGCAAAAACA
rnacentral:rRNA from 1 species